UACGGAGGGUGCAAGCGUUAAUCUGAAUUACUGGGCGUAAAGCGUGCGCAGGCGGUUUGUUAAGUCCGCUGUGAAAUCCCCGAGCUCAACUUGGGAAUUGCAGUGGAUACUGGCAAGCUGGAGUAUGGUAGAGGAAGGUGGAAUUCCCGGUGUAGCAGUGAAAUGCGUAGAGAUCGGGAGGAACACCAGUGGCGAAGGCGGCCUUCUGGACCAAUACUGACGCUCAUGCACGAAAGCGUGGGGAGCAAACAGG
rnacentral:rRNA from 1 species